CGGCGGGCGUGACUCGCGUGCGUCACCGCCGCCGCGCCCUAAAACCCGUGCUGCGCAGUUUGUGGUCCUCAAGUGCUCCCUGUUCGGACUCUGAGCACAGGUUAGGUGUCGGGUUAUUGUCGGCCUGGAUGCAGGUGCUAUGCAGUCCCAGUCGUCCAAAACUGACUUAGGAGGAUCGCCGCGAGUUGGAAACCAGCCCUUGCUACACAGAAACAGAAAAUUUUGGGGACCUGGAGCGUGGAAAAAGUUCUUAGAGUUGGAGAGUAAAACCCACAAAAGAAAGAAUGAUAAACUAAACCAUCUGCCAUCAAAACUAAACACUCUUAUCUGGGUAUGAUGAUGUUCCCUCAUCCUCCUAACACUUGAGAAGCAAAGUCCUCACUCUCAAGGAACUUACUUCCUGGUGGCAAACCAGUCAACAAAUACAUAACCAGAAGUGAUGAGCUGAGAUAAAGGUGGCAGAGAGAUGCGUGAGGAGCCCCACACAGGAACCCAAUACAGAGAGGAGAGAAACAAACACGGCUUGUUUAUUAGAACUGAGAGAGGAAUUGCUCUCCCACAGAUAGAAGAGUGCUGCCUCUCAGUGUGUAUCAAGAGCAAGACAACAAUUGAAAAGUGUAUUCCUGAGAAGAAGCAAAAAAGUUACCAGCUUGCAAACAAACAUAACAGGUGAGUUCAACAAAAAAUAAAACUUUUUUUAAAAACAAAAAACAAAA